UACGUAGGGUGCGAGCGUUGUCCGGAAUUAUUGGGCGUAAAGGGCUCGUAGGCGGUUUGUCGCGUCGGGAGUGAAAACUCAGGGCUUAACCCUGAGCCUGCUUCCGAUACGGGCAGACUAGAGGUAUGCAGGGGGAGAACGGAAUUCCUGGUGUAGCGGUGAAAUGCGCAGGUAUCAGGAGGAACACCGGUGGCGAAGGCGGCUCUCUGGACCGAUACUGACGCUGAGGCGCGAAAGCGUGGGGAGCAAACAGG
rnacentral:rRNA from 1 species